GCUUGGGGAUGCACGGGGAUGCACUGUCGGUCCCGAGGCCUGGAGACGGGACUCGUCGACGCUGCGGUCAGACGAAAAUGGAACUUAAACGGCGCGGCCGCCACUGUGCUUAGGGUAAAGGGCCGCUUGGUCGUCUUAAAGACCUGGGGACGCGGGACCCCGUUAUUCAGGUGCAAGCACGCCCCUCGGGGGAGCGGAGCGGAGCGGAGCGGAGCGGGGCGGGGGCUGCGUUCUGGCCGUGACCGCCUCCGCCGAGGCCUCCCGCCGAGCUGAUGGAAGCCGCAGUCGCACCGCAGAGCGACUGUAGGUCGGAAGAAGGGGGUGGUUUAUUGCGUGGGUUUGGGCCCUACUGCACAUAUACUUUUUAUUUAGGUCUUAAAGGUCCGAGGAUGCACCAGCUUCUGGUCGUAUCAGAUAAAGUGUUGAAACCCUUCGCUACCUAUUAUUUGGGGUCUCUUAGUGACCGUGGGAUCCACAUCUUGAGUCUGCUCUUUCCCUCGCGGUUUGGAGCUUGUAAACGAUGGUACAGGAGGGUGUGCAGCCCUGGCCGUGGGUGUGGCUCAUGCCGACAGCGGCCUCCCCUGCACCUGAGAGGUCGGGGCACGUGCAGGGGGCAACCAAUGGAUGUUUCUUUCUCCCCCUCCCUAAAAUAAGUAAAUCAAUAAAAUCAGUAAAAAUCUUCUGGUGAGGAUUAAGAAAAAAAGUAUAUAUAAAGCAACUCUUUGCAAAAUAGGUUAGAUAGAUAAAGGAAGUUGCUUCUCUUGACCCUGUGAAUCCCUUAGAUAUUCAUCUUAAUUUAUGGUUUUGACUUGCUUUGGAGGGUGCAGACCACUGAAGUGUUUAGGCUGGACUCUCCUCGAUCCUCAUUCUUUGUAGGCCAGCGAUCCUCUGCUGAUUGAUUUGUUUUCUUGCACUUUUCUUGUCUAUUAUGAAUGAACACUGUCUCCAAGAUGGAUAGGUUAAUCUUUUAAACAGCCAUUUGGGCUUUUAUCAGGCUGACCCCAACUUUGAGUAUUUUGUCCUUAAUCUUAUAAUAUUUCUAUUUGAUAGGAAAUGCUUUAAACACAUCGAUUUUCCCUUCUUCCUUCUUGUCACCUUGCAAGAAAGUAAGUGGGAAAAACAAUUAAAUUUUGUAAUUUCAUGGUAACAUAUUCCUGAAGCUGGAAGGGGCCUCAAGAGAUGAUAUGGUCAAAUCCUCCUAUGGCAGGAAGAUUUUACAGGAGAGAAGGAUAAGGACCAGAAAGUCAAGUGAUAGGCCUAAGAUGAAUUCCAUGAAAACAAGUUUUGGAGGCUUCUGGCUUCUUGUACAGUGGUCUGUGAUGAGACCCAUGUGUUCCCUCUGGGGUCAUCUGGGAAGCAACGGGCACUUAUCAGAGACAGACCAGGGAGGAUAUGUCUACUUGUUUAUCGUAGAUUAAAAUCAUAGACGAAACAGUGGAUCUGACAGGCACGCGCAAGCCAGGUCCAGACAUUGAAAUAUUCAAUCCAUCAUCUACAUCUUGUAAAUAAUAAAUCCACUGUGAUUUACAUACAAUGUUUAAUGCCCGACGAAUUAAUUCAAGAUACUGGUGGAGGUGUUGAACCAGAACCAUUAGCCCUCCAUCCUCAUUGACUUGCCUGGACCAUUCUGUUUCUCCUCUCCUGGAUUGUCCUGAAUGUAGAGGAAACUCCUCUCUCUAUAGCUUCUAAGCAAUCCAGUGCACUUACAACCACAAGUUUAAAUAGAGAUUCUGACACCGGGCAUACAGCUGGACAGAGAUCAGACGAUCUAUAAGGUUUGCAACAGGUCUCCCCUAGAUCAAUAGGAAUAUUAUUUUCCAUCAAACACAUGGUGUGAAACCCUCCACAAGGCCCCUGAACUGAAAAUACAUCAUCGAGUGGCUUGUAGUGAAUUGCGCCAGCAAUUACUCCUGCAUGAUCAUAAUAGAAUCUUGCAGAUUGAAGGGUGGCAAGUGAUAAUUGUGUCAGGAGGUUUGCGGAAACUGCUCCACACAAGUCUGCACAUUCUGCUUGUUCAAUAACAGUAGGAUCACCCAUAGUGUGUACCACAACCUUUGUAACAUGACAAACAUCAACAAUUACUUCAACAGGAGUAUCUUUGGAGACAACAAUAAGUUCAACCCUUUUGUAAGCAACUAAAGCCUUAAGCAAAUGGGAAAGAUGCCAAAACUGAGAUAAGGGAAUUGAAUGAAUAGUUGAGUGCAUUUGGCAACUUGCUCCUCUAAUAAAAGACACCAUCUCUUUAACAUCACUUCUCCAUUUUCCUGCCUGAACAAACGGCUUAAGCAUCCCGAUAAGGGAGUCAAUAUCUGGUGAUGAAGAAACUUCACGCUCGAUCUUGUCCAGCUUCAUUCUCUUAUAACCUUCAUUACUUCUGGGACUGGAAUGUUAAUCCAGCAAGCAAUAACUUUGCAAGGAGAGCAUUUUGUAAUGAUGUCCUUGCAGGCAACAACUUGCUUAAAAUUCCAAUUUUUGAUGCAGGGUCAAAUAUUUGAUUCCCAUCUGAUAACGAGAACAUGACAUCGCAUGUUCAUCGAAGUGUAGGAGAGGAUGUUGGUAUGUAUGCAACUGCCUUUAAGUAGGAUGACACCGGUCUAACCAAACUCCUUCGUAGGCUGCAUGCAUACCAAAAAGAUACCAUUAUUAGGUGUCCUGGUAGAGGUGCUAAAUGGCUCAGCGAAAAUCUCUCUAAAUGACAUGGUGAUUGGCCCGAGUCAAGUAAUGAAUCUAACUCACGGGAUUCCUGGUAUAGUGACAUGAAAAUUUCUACUCCUAGCUUAAAGCCUGCGGCAACAUCUGGGUCUCCAUACCAGCUAGUGCAGCGGUUCUCAACCUGUGGGUCGCGACCCCUUUGGGGGUCAAACGACCCUUUCACAGGGGUCGCCUAAGACCAUCCUGCAUAUCAGAUAUUUACAUUACGAUUCAUAACAGUAGCAAAAUUACCGUUAUGAAGUAGCAAUGAAAAUAAUUUUAUGGUUGGGGGUCACAACAUGAGGAACUGUAUUUAAAGGGCCAGAAGGUUGAGAACCACUGUGCUGAAAAGUGAUCUAUUUGAAUCCCCUUAUACAUGGGAGGUCUUGACAAGGAAAAGAAGUCUUCUUGAAUUUCUCUUGUGCAACCUGAGCACAAAAAUGUAAGGUAAGUUUUAUUUGCAAGGAUUCCGAAGUGUAAUUGGGAAGAUAACAAGUUAAGUCUGUGUAGGAAAGCGGCCUGAAAUGGAUGGUAUAAUCCUUUUGUGAUUUGGCAAGUCAGUCAUGUAGUUUGUGGUAAAACCUACACGUGUAGAUAGAACAUUCAAGCUACCAGCAAGUCCAGCUUGAUCAUCAGAGGCCUGGGAGCCUGUGAGUAAGGGUGCCACCCAUUAUUACAGGAAGAUAGGUGUGUGGACACCUUUUUCACUCAACAAAAUAGAUAGUAAUCUUGCUAAGUGUUGUCCUACAGCACCCUU